rnacentral:rRNA from 1 species
GGAGUUAGCCGGUGCUUCUUCUGCGAGUAACGUCACAGAUGUAAGGUAUUAACUUACACCCUUUCCUCCUCGCUGAAAGUGCUUUACAACCCGAAGUCCUUCUUCACACACGCGGCAUGGCUGCAUCAGGGUUUCCCCCAUUGUGCAAUAUUCCCCACUGCUGCCUCCCGUAGGAGUCUGGGCCGUGUCUCAGUCCCAGUGUGGCUGAUCAUCCUCUCAGACCAGCUAGGGAUCGUCGCCUAGGUGAGCCUUUACCUCACCUACUAGCUAAUCCCACCUGGGCUUAUCCAUCAGCGCAAGGCCCGAAGGUCCCCUGCUUUCCCCCGUAGGGCGUAUGCGGUAUUAGCAGUCGUUUCCAACUGUUAUCCCCCACAAAUGGGCAAAUUCCCAGUCAUUACUCACCCGUCCGCCGCUCGUCAUCUUCAAAAGCAAGCUUUUGAAAUGUUACCGCUCGACUUGCAUGUGUUAGGCCUGCCGCCAGCGUUCAAUCUGAGCCAGGAUCAAACUCUGA